GCAAGUCGAGCGCGAACUUCGGUUCGAGCGGCGAACGGGUGAGUAACAUGUAGAUUACGUACCUCUUGGCGGGGAACAACCCAGGGAAACCUGGGCUAAUACCGCAUAUGUACUUCGGGAUGAAAGGCUUCGGCCACCAGGGGAUCGGGCUGCGGCUCAUUAUCUAAUCCUAGUUGGUGUGGUAACGGCACACCAAGGGUACGAUGGGUAGCUGGUCUGAGAGGAUGAUC
rnacentral:rRNA from 1 species